rnacentral:tRNA from 1 species
GGGCGGUUAGCUCAGCUGGUUAGAGCGCCUCCCUUACAAGGAGGAGGUCGUUGGUUCGAGUCCAAUACCGCCCA